UCAAAGCAAAACAUGUCAUCCGAUCACACAUCUAUAAUUCAAACGUAUAGAAUAGAAUGAGUAGCUAACAGUGCAUUCACAUACAUGUAAGAUUUACAAGUUAUUUCUUUCAUGACAUUGUGUGAUACAGUUGAAUUAUUAUAAAUCAAGAACUAUAUUAUGAGUAGCCAUCUGUGAUCAAUUUCUUACACAUACUCAAAUAAAUAGUAAAAUGCCUUCAAAUCAUUUUUUAGUGACAGAGUGGAGAGGAAAGUGUAAAGUUACAGGAAUGCACUGUAGGGCAAAUUCUCCUGUUCCUGGACCAUUCCAUGUAUUGUCUCAGCCUGAACAGAUCAACCAGUUAAUUGAAAUGUUUCCAGAUUCAACCAGGGAAGAUAUAUCAACUUCUUUAGCUGUCCAUGGAACAGUUGCCAGGGCAGCAUUGUCAUUGUCAACCACCUCGACAAAUGAUAAAGAUGACAGUGAUGGUGACCAUGCAGAGCCAGUCUUUCCUCCUAGGAGCAGUGACUACAAACCAGCUUCUCUUUCUGAGUUACUGGAAGACCUGAAAGAUAAUAUGAGCAAAUUAUGACAGAGAAAAACUUUGGGUUGAUGAGGAGGAUUUACUGAACGAUGCUAUGGCAUACUAUAAAGAUGCAAAGUUUGAUUCAAAGAAAAAACCCAGAGACAUAUCCAAUGAGCAGCUAGCCGCAGACACUGGUGGGGUAACUAGACAGUUUUUCAACCAACUACUUCACCUAUUGUCUGAAGAAUUUUUCCAUGGGGAUGAUUACAAAAUUCCUAUUUACAAUUCUCAUGUGGUUGCAUCGGGCAUGAUGAUGCUUGAAGGAAAAAUAAUAGUUCAAAGCAUUCUUCAAGGAGGUCCGGGCUUGUUGAUCUUAAGCCCCUCGGUGUAUCACUAUUUGGAAACAAGGGAUGUCGAUGGAGCAAUCCAGAAAAUGACAAUGACUGCUCCUGAAGGAUCAAGUCCUAUAUCAACAUGGUCGCUGAGGCAGUUGAUGUGGCCACAUUAGAUCCAGAUAAAACAACAGAUAUUUUAUCAGAGUGUGGACUUACUUCUACCUUGACUAAUGAAAACAAGAUGAGAGUUAUACAGUCCAUAAUCAUUCAUGAUGUGAUUGGAAGGCCAAAAAUUGUCCUUGAUCAACUGAGAGAUGGCCUUGCCACUAUAGGGUUUGGUACAAAAAUGAAGAAGUUUCCAGAUCUCUUCCAACAGUUGUUUGUA